rnacentral:tRNA from 1 species
AAGGGAGACCUAAUUCGGGUAUGGGACGAAAAAAAAGUAGUCCCUACCAAGAAUCAAUCCCAAAAGGUCGGAACGAGGCAUGUGGCUUUCAAACUAGGUUCUGGGUUCAUAAAAGACCUGAAUCAGGAACAAGGGCUAUUAGCUCAGGUGGUUAGAGCGCACCCCUGAUAAGGGUGAGGUCCCUGGUUCGAAUCCAGGAUGGCCCACCUGCACAGGUGGCAAAAACAAGAGAAACGAGGAAUCAGCACCUUAUCUUACUUAUAUAGUAGGAGAGAAUGCUGGCUCUGAGUAAGGAGUCCAGAGGAACCUUGAAAACUGCAUAGAGCUAGGUGAAAAAGCCAAAAAAGAAGACCGCAAGGUCAAGCUAAUAAGGGCUAACGGUGGAUACCUAGGCAC